rnacentral:rRNA from 1 species
UACGUAGGGUCCGAGCGUUGUCCGGAAUUACUGGGCGUAAAGAGCUCGUAGGUGGUUUGUCGCGUUGUUCGUGAAAACUCACAGCUCAACUGUGGGCGUGCGGGCGAUACGGGCAGACUGGAGUACUGCAGAGGAGACUGGAAUUCCUGGUGUAGCGGUGGAAUGCGCAGAUAUCAGGAGGAACACCGGUGGCGAAGGCGGGUCUCUGGGCAGUAACUGACGCUGAGGAGCGAAAGCGUGGGGAGCGAACAGG